rnacentral:tRNA from 1 species
CGCGCCGCCAGGGAGCUGGCGGCCCGACCGGUCUGAUCGGCCGGAUCGGUUCGAGCGGUUCGAGCGGUCCGAUCGGCCCGGAUCGGUUCGA